GUUGUUAGUUUGUGGGGCCAUGUAACAGGGAGAACACCAAUCUUGUGGGGCCCAGCAACCUUGUGGGGCCCAAAAUGAGGGACCCCACUAGAAUGAUCAUCAUAUAUGGGCUCACAAGCCUCCCCUGACAUGCCUGUCGCUUUUUUAGCACAUGUCUCACAAAGUCAGAAAGUAUGGAAAAGUGUGUGUGAUGUGUGUGUGGAUUUUUUACUCACUAGUGCCCCAAGUGUUGGAAAGGUGGUAUAACAUCACACACACACACUUCCUGGUGUGUGUAAGGGUUCAGCCAAUGAGGGGCCACUAUGAAAUCUCGCGAGAUUUUUCGUGAAGUCAUUAGCGAUAUCUCAUGUCUCAGCAUACCAAAGCCAUGCAGUGUUGGCUGCUCAACUGGGAACUUUGCAGAGAAUAAGGUGACAAACUAUGAGGCCCCUGCUGUGGCUAUAGAGACAGAAGACACCCUUUCAAAUCUGUCUUCCCAUGAGGAAUCCAAUGGAGAGGAAGCCAUAGCCCAGGUAAACAAACUGCUAUCAAAAGAACCUGGACACCCGAGGAAGCGGCAGCGGUGAACCGGCAUCUACGGAGAUGCAUUACCAUGAACAGUGUUCCAGGCAAAGAGGAGUGUCAACAGUGCAUUAAUGCAGACCCUGAAGCUCUCCGAAUGCGAGACUGGAAGGCAUAUAGAAUCACUACUUUGAGACGAAAGUAUAAGUGUGAACUUGCUGAUGCACCGUCAUAUUGACAGUGUUAACAGUCUCUUCUUGUGAGGCCUCUUUGUAGGCAAUGAUAAAGUUAAUCUUGUCCCAGUGACUUUUAUUUCUGAACACUGAACAAUUGUCCAAUGAGUAACUGAAACUAUUCCGCGCCCCCACAAUCAAACGCCCGCAUGGGGAGAUUUUAGCUUUUACUUUACUAAGUUAAUAAAGACAAGAGAACAUAUUAUGUGUUAAGGAGUUUAUUUUAUGCAAUGUCGUUUGAGAAAUGGUACUAGGAAAGCGUUGAGUAGUGUUGAGCUGGAGUUCAUUAUAUUAAUGAAAUUUAAUGCCCCAUAUACCUUAUGAUGAUCUUUGGUUACAAUGACAUCGAGCCCUACAAUGUCUUUGAUAAGCAACAAAAAAUAUGUAAACAUGUUAUUUCCAUCAGAAGACAUUGUGUCUUGCGAAGAUACAAAGUCUAGAAAUGGUUGUCUUGCUAAGAUAUUAAAACUAGGAUUGUGUAUGUGUGUGUGAAAGAGGGACUCGCAAGUUUUGAAUGUUAGAAACAGAACCCCACAAAGUGACAAAAAAACUAGCAAGAGAAAAAAAGUUCUGAAUUUUAACAAAUUAAAGUGAUGGUAAUUAUAUAGAUUUUUUUUUCAUCUUACUGGAUUUUUUACAAUGUUGUAGCACUGCCAGAAAGGGUGGAUCCCACAUUUGGGUAAAAUAAGUUCGGGCCCUACAAAGGAGGAACA